rnacentral:rRNA from 1 species
CCCUUAGAUGUUCGGGGCCGCACGCGCGCUACACUGAAGGAAUCAGCACGUCUUUCUCCUUGUCCGAAAGGACUGGGUAACCCGCUGAACCUCCUUCGUGCUAGGGAUUGGGGCCUGUAAUUCUUCCCCAUGAACGAGGAAUUCCCAGUAAGCGCGAGUCAUAAGCUCGCGUUGAUUACGUCCCUGCCCUUUGUACACACCGCCCGUCGCUACUACCGAUUGGAUGGUUUAGUGAGAUCCUCGGAUUGGUCCCGGAGCGGCCUCUGGUCGUGCCGGAGUGCCGAAAAGAAUGUCGAACUUGAUCAUCUAGAGGAAGUAAAAGUCGUAACA